rnacentral:rRNA from 1 species
CCUACGGGAGGCAGCAGUGGGGAAUUUUGGACAAUGGGCGCAGGCCUGAUCCAGCAAUGCCGCGUGCAGGAUGAAGGCCUUCGGGUUGUAAACUGCUUUUGUACGGAACGAAACGGUUCGCUUUAAUACAGUGGGCUAAUGACGGUACCGUAAGAAUAAGCACCGGCUAACUACGUGCCAGCAGCCGCGGUAAUACGUAGGGUGCGAGCGUUAAUCGGAAUUACUGGGCGUAAAGCGUGCGCAGGCGGUGAUGUAAGACAGAUGUGAAAUCCCCGGGCUCAACCUGGGACCUGCAUUUGUGACUGCAUCGCUAGAGUACGGUAGAGGGGGAUGGAAUUCCGCGUGUAGCAGUGAAAUGCGUAGAUAUGCGGAGGAACACCGAUGGCGAAAGCAAUCCCCUGGACCUGCACUGACGCUCAUGCACGAGAGCGUGGGGAGCAAACAGGAUUAGAUACCCUGGUAGUCCACGCCCUAAACGAUGUCAACUGGUUGUUGGGUCUUCACUGACUCAGUAACGAAGCUAACGCGUGAAGUUGACCGCCUGGGGAGUACGCCGCAAGUUGAAACUCAAAGGAAUUGACGG